AAACGCUGGCGGCGUGCUUAACACAUGCAAGUCGAACGGUAACAGGCAGAAAGCUUGCUUUUUGUGCUGACGAGUGGCAGACGGGUGAGUAACGCGUGGGCAACCUACCUUUAAGUGGGGGACAACCAGCCGAAAGGCUGGCUAAUACCGCAUGAUAUGACGUUGACUUCGGUCGAUGUGAUCAAAGCCUGGGAUCUUCGGACCAGGUGCUUGAAGAGGGGCUCGCGUCAGAUUAGCUAGUUGGUGGGGUAAGGGCUCACCAAGGCGACGAUCUGUAGCCGGCCUGAGAGGGUGAUCGGCCACACUGGAACUGAGACACGGUCCAGACUCCUACGGGAGGCAGCAGUGGGGAAUUUUGCGCAAUGGGGGAAACCCUGACGCAGCAACGCCGCGUGCGGGAUGACGCUUUUAGGAGUGUAAACCGCUGUUAGUAGGGACGAAUAAGAUAGUUUUGAAUAA
rnacentral:rRNA from 1 species